ACUAUCUUGAUCAUUGUUUCCUUCUGACUGCCCCAAAUAAACCCAGACCACGAAAAACUCUCCCCAUACGAGUGUGGCUUUGACCCCCUAGGAACCGCCCGAUUACCUUUUUCUCUCCGAUUCUUUCUCGUCGCCAUUCUUUUCCUUCUUUUUGACCUAGAAAUCGCCCUUCUUCUGCCUCUUCCCUGAGGAGACCAACUAGAAUCCCCCCUACUUACAUUUUUAUGGGCCUCAGCCAUCCUACUGCUUUUAACCCUGGGCCUAAUCUACGAAUGAAUGCAAGGCGGCCUAGAGUGGGCCGAGUAGAUAAUUAGUUUAAAAAAGACAUUUGAUUUCGGCUCAAAAGCUUGUGGUUAAAACCCACAAUUAUCCAAGUGACACCUUCUCACUUUGCCUUUACGUCUGCAUUCAUACUUGGCCUCACCGGUCUCGCCCUUCACCGCUAUCACCUUCUCUCUGCCCUCUUGUGCUUAGAAGGAAUGAUACUUUCCCUGUUCAUUGCCCUCUCACUCUGAACCCUCCAACUUGACUCUACUUGCUUUUCAGCAUCUCCCAUGCUCCUCCUGGCUUUCUCAGCAUGUGAAGCAAGCGCUGGACUUGCACUCCUAGUAGCCACUGCCCGCACUCAUGGCACUGACCAUCUCCAAAGUCUCAACCUCCUACAAUGCUAAAAAUGAUUAUCCCCACAAUUAUGCUCAUUCCUACAACUUGACUAACACCCGCAAAAUGGCUAUGACCCGCAACUCUUGCCCACAGCCUCCUUAUUGCCAUAUAUAGCACAACCUGACUAACCUGUCUAGCUGAAACCAGCUGAUCCACCCUUAACUCUUACGUAGCAGUUGACCCCAUCUCAAUCCCCCUCCUAAUACUGACCUGCUGCUGACUACUACCACUCAUGAUUCUGGCAAGCCAAAACCACUUAGCCCUAGAACCUGCUAACCGACAACGAACUUACAUUUCCCUAUUGACCUCCCUACAAUUCUUCCUGAUCCUAGCAUUUAGCGCCACAGAAAUAGCUUUAUUUUACAUCGCAUUCGAAGCCACCCUCAUCCCCACCCUGAUUAUUAUUACUCGAUGAGGUAACCAAGCAGAACGCAUUACCGCAGGAGUUUACUUCCUAUUCUACACCCUAAUAGCCUCCCUCCCCCUACUUGUUGCCCUCCUCGUGCUCCAACACCAUGCAGGAUCUUUAUCAAUCCUAACAACACAAUUCCUGUACCCAACCUACUACACAUCCUACUCAAACAAACUAUGAUGGGCAGGAUGUAUGCUAGCCUUCUUAGUCAAACUCCCCCUUUAUGGAGUUCACUUAUGACUCCCAAAAGCACACGUAGAAGCCCCCGUUGCAGGUUCAAUGAUUCUUGCCGCCGUUCUUCUCAAACUAGGAGGUUAUGGAUAAUGCGUAUAAUAGCCAUCUUAGACCCCCUCACUAAAAGAACUAAGUUACCCCUUCAUCAUUUUUGCCCUAUGAGGCCUCGUCAUAAUAGGUUCAACCUGCCUUCGUCAAGCUGACCUAAAGUCCAUAAUUGCCUACUCAUCAGUAGCUCACAUAGGCCUCGUCGUAGCGGGGAUCUUAAUCCAAACCCAAUGAAGCUUCACCGGUGCACUCAUCCUCAUGAUCGCACACGGUCUGACAGCCUCCGCCCUAUUCUGCCUAGCCAAUACCAACUACGAACGCACUCACAGUCGAGUAAUACUACUGACACGAGGCCUACAAAUAGCCCUCCCACUAAUAACAGCAUGAUGAUUCCUCGCCACGCUCGCCAACCUAGCAUUACCCCCUCUACCCAACCUAAUAGCAGAGCUAAUAGUCCUUACCGCACUAUGCAACUGAUCUCCAUGGACAAUCCUAUUUACAGGGGCCGGUGUCCUAAUUACCGCAGCCUACUCCCUCUAUAUGUUCCUGUUGACACAACGAGGUCGCCUACCUCCCCAUAUCAAAUCCCUAGACCCCUCACACUCUCGAGAACACUUAGUUAUCGCACUCCACUUAACCCCUGUUACACUUCUAAUCUUCAAACCAGAACUAAUUUGAACCUGACUGAUCUGUAAAUAUAGUUUAACCAAAACCUCAGAUUGUGAUUCUGAAAACAGGGGUUAAAACCCCCUUAUUCACCAAGAGAGGCCCGCCGGCAACGAAGGCUGCUAACCUUCGCACCCAUGGUUAAACCCCAUGGCUCACUUGCCCCGCUUCUAAAGGAUAACAGCUCAUCCGUUGGUCUUAGGAACCAAAAACUCUUGGUGCAAAUCCAAGUAGUAGCUAUGCACCCAGCUUCACUUGCAAUAACAUCAAGCUUAAUUAUUAUUUUUGCUGUCCUCGCAUACCCCAUUCUGACAACCCUUUCUCCCCUCCCUCAAAACCAAAACUGGGCACUCUCCCACGUAAAGACAGCAGUAAAACUAGCCUUCUUCAUCAGCUUACUUCCCCUAUUCCUAUUCCUAAACGAAGGCCUAGAAGUAAUUAUCACCAACUGAAACUGAAUAAAUAUUGCCACCUUUGACAUAAACAUCAGCCUUAAAUUUGACCACUACUCAAUUAUCUUUACCCCAGUCGCACUAUACGUGACCUGGUCUAUCCUGGAAUUUGCAUCAUGAUACAUACACGCAGACCCUAAUAUAAAUCGCUUCUUCAAGUACCUUUUAAUCUUCCUAAUCGCAAUAAUCAUCCUAGUUACAGCAAACAACAUAUUCCAACUCUUCAUCGGCUGAGAAGGUGUGGGAAUCAUAUCAUUUCUCCUCAUCGGCUGAUGGCACGGCCGAGCCGACGCAAACACCGCAGCUUUACAAGCAGUUCUCUACAAUCGCCUAGGAGACAUCGGACUGAUCUUCACCAUAGCAUGAAUCGCAAUAAACCUCAACUCAUGAGAAAUACAACAAAUAUUUGCCUCUGCCAAAGACAUAGACCUCACCCUCCCCCUACUAGGACUCGUCAUUGCUGCAACCGGUAAAUCCGCUCAAUUUGGACUCCAUCCAUGGCUCCCCUCCGCCAUGGAGGGUCCCACACCAGUCUCUGCCCUACUACAUUCAAGCACAAUGGUUGUGGCAGGUAUCUUCCUCUUAGUCCGAAUAAGUCCCUUAAUAGAAAACAACCAGACUGCCCUCACCACCUGUCUCUGCCUAGGCGCCCUAACUACCCUCUUCACUGCCACCUGUGCCCUUACCCAAAAUGAUAUCAAGAAAAUCGUUGCCUUCUCCACCUCUAGCCAACUAGGUCUAAUAAUAGUUACCAUUGGACUUAACCAACCACAAUUAGCCUUCCUACACAUUUGUACUCAUGCAUUCUUCAAGGCAAUACUCUUCCUAUGUUCAGGCUCAAUUAUCCACAGCUUAAAUGACGAACAAGACAUCCGAAAAAUAGGAGGCAUGCAUUGCCUCACCCCUUCACCUCUUCAUGCUUAACCAUCGGAAGCCUAGCCCUCACGGGCACCCCCUUUCUAGCCGGAUUUUUCUCCAAAGACGCCAUCAUCGAAGCACUCAACACAUCCUACCUUAACGCCUGAGCCCUUGUCUUAACCCUACUAGCAACUUCAUUCACAGCCAUCUAUAGCCUACGUGUUAUCUACUUUGUGUCAAUAGGACACCCCCGCUUUAACUCCCUCUCCCCUAUCAACGAAAACAACCCUGCGGUAAUCAACCCCAUCAAACGACUAGCGUGAGGAAGUAUCAUCGCCGGCUUGCUGAUUUCCUCCAACAUUAUUCCAACCAAAACGCCCGUCAUAUCUAUGCCUCCAAUACUAAAACUGGCCGCUCUAACAGUAACAGUCCUAGGACUUCUAAUAGCCCUAGAACUAGCAACCCUCACAAACAAACAAUUUAAACCCACUCCCACCCUAAUUCCCCACCAUUUCUCCAACAUGCUAGGGUUCUUCCCACCAAUUAUCCACCGUCUCGCCCCAAAACUAAAUCUAUUCCUAGGUCAAACCAUCGCAAGCCAGACAAUCGACCAAACUUGAUUAGAAAAAUCAGGCCCCAAAGCUCUCAUCAACCUAAAUUUGCCUUUAAUCACAACAACAAGUAACAUUCAACAAGGCCUAAUUAAAACCUACCUGGGCCUAUUCCUCCUAACUCUCACCCUCGCCCUAUUAAUCACCUACUAAACUGCCCGAAGUGCCCCCCGACUCAACCCCCGAGUCAAUUCUAACACUACAAAAAGAGUGAGAAGUAGCACCCAUCCACUAAUAAUCAACAUCCAACCCCCAGAAGAAUACAUCAACGCCACUCCCCCUGCAUCACCACGAAAUACAGAAAACUCGCCCAACUCGUCAACCGACACCCAUGAAGACUCAUAUCAAACCCCUCCAAACACCACAAAAGCUAAUACCACACCCACUAUGUACACGACCAUAUGCACUACAACAGGCCAACUCCCUCAAGCCUCAGGAUAUGGCUCAGCAGCCAAAGCUGCUGAAUAUGCAAAUACAACUAACAUCCCUCCUAGAUAAAUCAAAAACAACACCAACGACAAAAAAGGACCCCAUGUCCAACUAAAACCCCACACCCCAUACCUGCAACAACUACUAACCCCAAAGCAGCAAAGUAUGGAGAAGGGUUGGACGCAACCGCAACCAAUCCUAAGACAAAACAAAAUAAAAUUAAGUACAUAAUAAAACACAUAAUUCCUGCCAGGACUCUAACCAAGACUUAUGGUCUGAAACACCAUCGUUAUUUUUUAACUACAAGAACCUUCAUGGCCAACCUACGAAAGACCCAUCCCCUUUUUAAAAUUGCAAACGAUGCACUAGUUGAUCUUCCCACCCCCGUCAAUAUCUCAGCAUGAUGAAAUUUCGGCUCACUAUUAGGCCUAUGCCUUAUCUCCCAAAUCCUAACAGGCCUAUUCCUAGCCAUACACUACACUUCAGAUAUCGCAACAGCCUUUACAUCCGUGACACAUAUUUGUCGCGACGUCAACUAUGGAUGACUUAUUCGGAAUAUACAUGCUAAUGGCGCAUCUUUCUUCUUCAUCUGCAUCUACCUUCACAUUGGUCGGGGUCUGUACUACGGCUCCUAUCUCUACAAAGAAACUUGAAACAUUGGAGUCAUCCUCCUACUAUUAGUCAUAAUAACUGCCUUCGUUGGCUAUGUUCUCCCCUGAGGACAAAUAUCAUUCUGAGGGGCUACCGUCAUCACAAAUCUACUUUCUGCAGUCCCCUAUGUAGGAAACACCCUGGUUCAAUGAAUUUGGGGCGGUUUCUCUGUUGAUAACGCCACCCUCACCCGUUUCUUUGCCUUCCACUUUCUACUUCCAUUCGUCAUUUUAGCUGCAACUAUCAUCCACCUUCUCUUCCUGCAUGAAACCGGCUCAAACAAUCCAACAGGUCUAAACUCUGAUGCAGACAAAAUCUCUUUCCACCCAUACUUCUCAUACAAAGACCUCUUAGGAUUUGCAAUCCUCCUCCUUGCACUCACCUGCCUAGCCCUAUUCUCACCUAACCUCUUGGGAGACCCAGACAACUUUACUCCUGCAAACCCUCUAGUCACCCCUCCUCACAUCAAGCCAGAAUGAUACUUUCUGUUCGCCUACGCUAUCCUCCGCUCAAUUCCCAAUAAACUAGGCGGGGUUCUAGCACUACUAUCCUCAAUUCUUGUCCUAAUAAUCGUCCCCUUCCUCCACACAUCCAAACAACGAAGCCUAACAUUCCGCCCUCUAACACAACUAUUAUUCUGGACCCUAGUUGCAGACGUACUCAUCUUAACUUGGAUUGGAGGUAUACCUGUUGAACACCCCUUCAUCAUCAUUGGGCAAGUUGCAUCACUUCUCUAUUUCUUACUGUUCCUUGUCCUACUCCCCCUAGCAGGAUGACUAGAAAACAAAGCCCUAGGAUGAUCAUGCAUUAGUAGCUCAAUGCCAGAGCGUCGGUCUUGUAAAUCGGCGGCCGGAGGUUUGAACCCUCCCUAUUGCUUCAAAAAAAGGAGAUUUUAACUCCCACCACUAACCCCCAAAGCUAGUAUUCUUACGUUAAACUAUUUUUUGAUAUAAUUAUAUAUACAUGUAUUCACACCAUGUAUUUAUGCUAACCAAUAAAUGAGUAUAUGGUGUAAAUGCAUAUAUAUAUGUAUUAAUCAACAUUUACCUGUAAUCAAAGGACAUAUGUGCAUUCAAUGGUACUCGUAAAUGUAAUGUACAGUAACCUAUAAUUAAUAUACUUUAAACAAUAAUAUUACAUAUUAAUCAUCAGCGAUAAUAGAGCGUAGUGAGAGAUCACCAAUUAGUAGGUAUUCAGAGUGUUGACGGUUCUUGAUAGUCAAGGACAAACACAGCGUGGGGGUUACACAAAUUGAACUAUUACUGGCAUUUGGUUCCUACCUCAGGUGCAUGGAUAAGAAAGAAUUCCACUGACGUUCCUUCAUAAAUGGCAUAAGUUAAUGGUGGAUAACAUGAAUCCUCGUUACCCACCAAGCCGAGCAUUCUUUCCAGCGGGUAAGGGGUUUAUAAUUUUUUUCUUAUCAUCUCAUUUGACAUCUCAGAGUGCACGCACAGAGCAUAUAAUAUGGAAGUAGAACAUAAUUUUUUUAUGGAAGAGAAUAGUCAGUAUGAAUGGUGAAAAGGCUUGACCUGAAGAAUUACAUAAUAGGAUAUCACGAGCAUAACGUGCUAACCUUCUACUCCCAACAUAUCUAUUAAUCCACCCCGUUUUUAUUACGCAACCCCCCCCCCCCCCCCCCCAAAAACAGAGGAAGCCCCACAAUAACUUGAUUUUAAUCUAAAAAUGCACUAUUUACACUAUUUAAAAUAUUUUAAGAAGCUGAUGUAGCUUAACCAAAGCAUGACACUGAAGAUGUUAGGAUGGACCCUAGAAAGUCCCAUAAGCACAAAGGCUUGGUCCUAGCUUUAUUGUCAGCUCUAGCUAGAUUUACACAUGCAAGUAUCCGCCCCCCCGUGAGAAUGCCCAUGAUUCCCUGUUUGGGAACAAGGAGCCGGUAUCAGGCACACCUAACCCACUGAGCCCACGACACCUUGCUUUGCCACACCCUCAAGGGAACCCAGCAGUGAUAAACUUUAAGCCAUAAGUGAAAACUUGACUUAGUUAAAGCUAAGUAGGGCCGGUCAAAUUCGUGCCAGCCACCGCGGUUAUACGAGAGGCCCAAGCUGACAAACCACGGCGUAAAGAGUGGUUAAGGAAACUUGAAACUAAAGUCGAACGCUCUCUUCGAGCUGUUAUACGCGUACGAGACUACGAAGCUCAGCCACGAAAGUGACUUUACAACCCCUGACCCCACGAAAGCUAAGAAACAAACUGGGAUUAGAUACCCCACUAUGCUUAGCCGUAAACAUUGAUUUUACAUUACACUUAAUAUUCCGCCCGGGAAUUACAAGCACUAGCUUAAAACCCAAAGGACUUGGCGGUGCUUAAUAUCCACCUAGAGGAGCCUGUUCUAUAACCGAUAAUCCCCGCUUAACCUCACCCCCUCUUGCCCUUACCGCCUAUAUACCACCGUCGUAAGCCUACCCUGUGAAGGCCCAAUAGUAUGCAAAACUAGUAUAGCCCCGAACGUCAGGUCAAGGUGUAGUACAUGAGAGGAGAAAGAAAUGGGCUACAUUCAUCAAUUCUAGUGAACACGAAUGAUGCACUGAAAACCUAUGCAGCUGAAGGAGGAUUUAGUAGUAAGAGAGAAACAGAGUGUCUCCCUGAAACCGGCUCUUAAGCGCGCACACACCGCCCGUCACCCUCCCCAUAGCACCCGGCUAAAACAUAAAUAAAGCACAAACGAACGCUAUUUUACGGAGAGGAAAGUCGUAACAUGGUAAGCAUACCGGAAGGUGUGCUUGGCUAAAUCAGAGUGUAGCUAAGACAGAUAAAGCAUCUCCCUUACACUGAGAAGUCACUUGUGCAAAUCAAGUCACCCUGACGCCCAUCAGCUAGCCCCACCUAUAAAAACAACAUACCACCAUAAAUAACCCCAAAACCACGCACUCCCCUAAAACAAAUCAUUUUCCAUCACCUAAGUAUGGGCGACAGAAAAGGACAUCCAUGGAGCUAUAGAAAAAGUACCGUAAGGGAACGCUGAAAUAGAGAUGAAACAGCCCAGUAAAGCCCUAAAAAGCAGAGAUUAAACCUCGUACCUUUUGCAUCAUGACUUAGCUAGCACCCCCAAGCAAAGAGCAUCUUUAGUUUGGCACCCCGAAACUAGUGUGAGCUACUCCAAGACAGCCUAUUCAAUAGGGCAAACCCGUCUCUGUGGCAAAAGAGUGGGAAGAGCUUUGAGUAGAGGUGACAGACCUACCGAACCUAGUUAUAGCUGGUUGCCUGAGAACUGGAUAGAAGUUCAGCCUCCCGGCUUCUCCAUUCAUAUACUAUUCCAAUAUGACUGCCCCCAGAUCUAAAAGAAACCCGCGAGAGUUAUUCUAAGGAGGUACAGCUCCUUUGAACCAAAAUACAAUUUUAUAAGGAGGGUAAAGAUCAUAAUCUUAACCAAGGCAGAAUGUCCUAGUGGGCCUAAAAGCAGCCACCCCUUUCAGAAAGCGUUAAAGCUCAGACAUACCUCUCCGCCCUAUAUCCCGAUAAUCUAAUCUUAACCCCCUAGCCCUAUCAGGCCGUUCCAUGCAAACAUGGAAGCGAUAAUGCUAACAUGAGUAACAAGAGGAUUUAUUUUAUCUGCGCUCCUCUCCCAGCACACGUGUACAUCGAAACGGACCAACCACCGAAACUUAACGGCCCCAAACAAAGAGGGAAUUGAAAGACAAACAUGAUAUACUAGAAAAUCAUCCAGCACGCAACCGUUAACCCCACACUGGUGUGCCAUUAAAGGAAAGACUAAAAGAAAAAGAAGGAACUCGGCAAACACAAGCCUCGCCUGUUUACCAAAAACAUCGCCUCUUGUACAACCACAUUAAAACAAAUAAGAGGUCCCGCCUGCCCAGUGACAACUGGUUCAACGGCCGCGGUAUUUUGACCGUGCAAAGGUAGCGUAAUCACUUGUCUUUUAAAUGAAGACCUGUAUGAAUGGCAUCACGAGGGCUUAGCUGUCUCCUUUUUCUAAGUCAGUGAAAUUGAUCUCCCCGUGCAGAAGCGGGGAUAAAAACAUAAGACGAGAAGACCCUAUGGAGCUUUAGACACCAGAAUAGCACAUGUUAAGACACCCUGAAUAAAGAACUGAACUUAAUGGCCCCCCUAUUCCAAUGUCUUCGGUUGGGGCGACCAUGAGGAACAAAAACCCCUCAUGUGGAAUGGGAGUACCACAACCCACACACUAUUUUUCCUAUACUCCUACAACCAAGAGCUACAACUCAAACUGACAGAAAUUCUGACCAACAAUGAUCCGGCAAUGCUGAUCAACGGACCAAGUUACCCUAGGGAUAACAGCGCAAUCCCCUUUUAGAGCCCAUAUCGACAAGGGGGUUUACGACCUCGAUGUUGGAUCAGGACAUCCUAAUGGUGCAGCCGCUAUUAAGGGUUCGUUUGUUCAACGAUUAAAGUCCUACGUGAUCUGAGUUCAGACCGGAGCAAUCCAGGUCAGUUUCUAUCUAUGCCCAUAAUUCUUUUUUAGUACGAAAGGACCGAAAAGAAAAGGCCCAUGCUAUAAGUAUGCCUUAUCCCUACCUAAUGAAAUCAACUAAACUAGGUAAAGGAACAUGCCCUCAACCCCGUCAAAGAGAAUGACAU